GCUCCAGUGGCUUAGUGGUUAGAGUGUCUGCCUCAGAUGCGGGAAGUCAUGAGUUCGAUACCUGGUCGAGUCA